GGGGGGGAAUGGCCAGAGCUGCGAUCGCGGUCCAGGUGGAGGGGUCUGCAGAGAUGGGGACAGCGGCAAACACCGCCGUGGAGCAAGCGACGACAUCUUCACUGAUGAGUGACUGAGCUAGAGGCGGCGUGGAGAGGGAACAACCCCUCUUCAUUGAUGGAAUCUGUUAAAAUCCGCUGAUAAAACUGUGAAGAUCGUGGAAGCUUUCGCAGCUGCUGGCAUCCCUGCCUCCCCCUCACUCUCUGAAGAUUUUAGCACCUGGCUCAUUGUCAUUCUCUUCACUCCCACCUCUUUGUAACCCUUGAUGACUUUUUCCUUCUUCUGGGGGGCCUGGGAAUUGUUCUGGGCUCUCAAUGACUCAGUGCACCAGAGGCAGUUCCCCCACCGUGGAUGGCAGAUGGCUUGUAAGGACAGCCACUGCCCUGCUCUCUGUCUCAGAUGACCCACGCCCACUCUUGGCUGUUUCUCAGCAGGAGUAUUCUGCCUGCAUCUGUACCAGCAAGCCAGAAGAGGGCACCAGAUCUCACUACAGAUGGUUG